CUCUAACCAUUCACCUUGCUUCCUUGAGCUUCUGGCAAAGAUCUCUAAUGAGACAAAAAGGGGUAUUUUUUACAUGUGUUCCCUAUUAAGGGUUAAUAUAUAGGGGUGUAUAUAAAAAAUACCCCUUUUUGUCUCAUUAGAGAUCUUUGCCAGAAGCUCAAGGAAGCAAGGUGAAGGGUUAGAGU